rnacentral:rRNA from 1 species
GAUGAACGCUGGCGGCGUGCCUAAUACAUGCAAGUCGAGCGAACGGACGAGAAGCUUGCUUCUCUGAUGUUAGCGGCGGACGGGUGAGUAACACGUGGAUAACCUACCUAUAAGACUGGGAUAACUUCGGGAAACCGGAGCUAAUACCGGAUAAUAUUUUGAACCGCAUGGUUCAAAAGUGAAAGACGGUCUUGCUGUCACUUAUAGAUGGAUCCGCGCUGCAUUAGCUAGUUGGUAAGGUAACGGCUUACCAAGGCAACGAUGCAUAGCCGACCUGAGAGGGUGAUCGGCCACACUGGAACUGAGACACGGUCCAGACUCCUACGGGAGGCAGCAGUAGGGAAGCUUCCGCAAUGGGCGAAAGCCUGACGGAGCAACGCAGCGUGAGUGAUGAAGGUCUUCGGAUCGUAAAACUAUGUUAUUAGGGAAGAACAUAUGUGUAAGUAACUGUGCACAUCUUGACGGUACCUAAUCAGAAAGCCACGGCUAACUACGU